GUCAAAUAUCUCCAGGACGCCAUCGUCACCCUCAAACCUAAAACCGAAAUUGUCACUUUAAUAACCGCAAAUAUUGUUGGAUUAUUGUGUUUGACUUACACUUCAUUACAGUCAUCAGUCUCCAUUUUGAUUAAGUAUGCAGAACAAGGAACAGAGCUGCCACUGACUGAAGUUUCUAUCGACUACAUUUUUGAUACAAGAAAACAGGAGCAGGAAUCAAAGCAGGAACAACAGAAAUUGGUCUCAAAAGCUUUAAGUUUGCACAUGAUGGCUGAUUUAACACAUGAUGAUUUGUUUUUAUUGAGCUGUGAAAUUAAUUGUAAAUAUUUUAAAGUUUA